CCUGAGGGAUCCGGUUUUUCCUUUGGGGACCAAAAGACCGGUGGGGCCAGGCCGUUGUCCACUUGUGUUGUGAGAAGGUGGGUUAAGUUCCGCCACGAGCGCCACCCUUGUUGUCCGUUGCCCUCCAUCCAUUGGGCCAUUUGGCGAGGCUGCCGGUGGCCAACCGGAGGAAGGGGGAGAAGGCGUCAAGUCCUCCAUCCCCUUAUGGCCUGGGCUACCCCCGUGGUUCCAUGGGCGAUACCACGAGUCGGGAAAUUGGGAGGUCCAAGUAAUUUUUUAAAGUUGUUUUCCGUUUGGGAUUCCGGGUGCCACUUCCCUGCCUGAAGUUGGAAUCGGUAGUAAUUGUAGAUCAGCCAUGCCGCGGUGAAUACGUUCCCGGGCCUUGUACACACCG
rnacentral:rRNA from 1 species